CUGCUUUUUGAUAAAAAGUGGUGUAUUUGCUACUUGAUGACCCUUGAAACAUUUGCAGUAUAUCUCAUUACUCAUCUGGGAUAAACAAUGCCUCUUAUUUUCCUUUUGGGGGAAAAGUAUGAGUUGCAUUUUGUCACGCACUACCCAGGAAUAUCCUGCAUUUACAGAAUAUUUCUCUUGGCCAACAGAGUUAAAAAGAUCAACUGCCAAGAAUAAAAAUCAGGAAACACCACUCAAAUGGAAUUCUCAAGACUGAAGACCUGCUCUCCACACAGCUGGAAUUCCUUUAAAAAAGCACCUGCAGACUCAACAUCUCUCCACAUCCCGGAGGGAAACUUGGCACAUUAGCUGACUGUGAGACUAAACAUAAGUCACCCCGGACUGACC
rnacentral:lncRNA from 1 species